UUUUUAUCAAACUAGGAAGUUUGGUAAUCGAGAAACCGCAGCCACCAAAUGUAUAAAAGACACCUAGUCUUAUUAUUCCGCCUUGUUUCCACAACAAUAUGAACACAAUGCAUUUGAAAUUCCUGCUUUUAUUAACUUGUUUUUUUGGUUUAACAUGUGUGAAAUCACAAUCAUUCACAAGGUACAGAAAUCGCAAUUUUCAUAACCCGAACCCUCAAAAAAAUUGCUCUUACAACAUCUGUGAACACAUUCCCAACUAUCCAGAAAACGUCAUAAAAGAGACUGUAAAAGGAAACAAGGCUUUCCAUUCUUACUUUGGAGACGUCGUAGGGCCAGCCAAGGAUGUCACACUUUCUGAUAGAAGCGGAGGCGCCAGUUAUGAACCUUUUUGCAAGACUACAGUCGUUACGAAAAUACCAAGGAUUAUGAAGGAUGUUGAUAAUAUUGAGAGAGUAAUUGUGAAUGUGGACGGUUACCGCCAAGUUAUAAAAUUCCAAACUUGCAGUUUCAGUAAUGGUGGAAAAUGUUACGGGGCAGGUUUGUUGACACGUAGCACAAGUUGUGUUCAGAAAUUCAAUAUUAUUAAGCUGGUGACGAUCAACAUUGAUAACAACGACCUGGAGUAUCGCAAAUUUCAAAUUCCAACUGCCUGUGUUUGCGCAUACUCUGACUGAGACUCCAAAACAUUUAUUUUUAUAGGCGAUUUACUGUUUGUACUAGCAGGUGACAACAAAUAAAUAUAUUUACCACAAA